rnacentral:lncRNA from 1 species
CAAAGCUUCCCUCAGGUGUCUCCCCAUAAACGCCAUGAAAUAGUGUUGUCCUGGUCCCUCAGCUACUUCUCCCUCAUCAGGAUGCUCUUCAGAUCCUUGAAGCUUGUCACUCUCCUUGUAUUUUUCACCCAGGUUGGUAAACCAUUAAUUUUGUGUGUGCAUAUCACUGAUCAUAUAUAUCUAUCUAAGAAGCAAUCAUCAUGUAAAAGACUUUUACAACAAAAAAAAUAAAAUAAAGAAAAACUGCUAUAAAAAAUAUGCAGAAACUAAAACUGUGCCAUACAUGUAGAAAUACUUGACGGGAAAGAUACUUGAUUCAUUUCUGGGUGAUGAGCAGGGGGCCUUUAUGAAGGGGGUCCCUUUUGUCAUUUAUGUCAUCUGCCGUCUCAUUUACACAUUUGCAACUUGCAUGCACAUCCAAACAAAAACCUCACUACCACAUGGAGUUCAAACCAGUUCUUGAAAACAAACAGAUUCAUAAAUUGAACAACGUUAUUGCCUCUUUCUGUGAAUCUAAUGGUUAAGGCUCUCUAUCGAGCAGGUCAACAAGAGAUGCCAUGUAUAGAAUUUAAAAACCAGAGAUCUAGUUGAUCCAAGGAGUAUAUUUGAUGAGGAUGAUAAUGAUAAGGGGAGAGAUAGAAGAGCAAGAUAUAUAUACUAACUCCAUCUUAAGG